GAACCUUCUUGUAACCAAUUGUUGAUACUCAAUUUUUUUCUAUCUAUUUUUAUACCCAAAAUACUUCCAAAAUAUCAUGAAUGUGCAUAUAUCAACAUACUCACGAGUUUUGGUAUUUUUAAACCAAUUUAUUGCCUAUUUUUCUCGCCGAUAAUGGCACGUCCCCGACGUCAACCAGCCGUCUCCACUGCCCAAAUCGUUACUCCAGCACUGGGGGUAACUAAAGAACUUGAACCGUUAACGUUUGGAAACUUUCGACCACAGAAAUUUCAAGCAACCGAUACUUUGCAUGCAGAUGAAAUUGUGAAUGUAGAGCUUAAAUUGAAGGUGAGUGAUGCAGAUCCUGCAAGCUUGACUGUAAGAAGAUUGCAGUUCUCUGAUAUCGCCAUAUCUGAGCAUUCCUCUCCUACUGUUGCUGAGGUCGUCAGGGGUAAUCGCAAUAUGGGUAAGGCUCUAUCGUUUGUUCCACCUUCUGAUAGGGAUGGGAAAAAAGUAGUUAAAAUCAUUGAAGCUGAAUUGAAACCUCUAUCGGAGUACUGGAGUGCUUCAUUAAUUGGAUACAUCAUUGGUGAUAAUCCCACUGUGAAAACUUUGGAGAAUUANNNNNNNNNNNNNNNNNNNNNNNNNNNNNNNNNNNNNNNNNNNNNNNNNNNNNNNNNNNNNNNNNNNNNNNNNNNNNNNNNNNNNNNNNNNNNNNNNNNNNNNNNNNNNNNNNNNNNNNNNNNNNNNNNNNNNNNNNNNNNNNNNNNNNNNNNNNNNNNNNNNNNNNNNNNNNNNNNNNNNNNNNNNNNNNNNNNNNNNNNNNNNNNNNNNNNNNNNNNNNNNNNNNNNNNNNNNNNNNNNNNNNNNNNNNNNNNNNNNNNNNNNNNNNNNNNNNNNNNNNNNNNNNNNNNNNNNNNNNNNNNNNNNNNNNNNNNNNNNNNNNNNNNNNNNNNNNNNNNNNNNNNNNNNNNNNNNNNNNNNNNNNNNNNNNNNNNNNNNNNNNNNNNNNNNNNNNNNNNNNNNNNNNNNNNNNNNNNNNNNNNNNNNNNNNNNNNNNNNNNNNNNNNNNNNNNNNNNNNNNNNNNNNNNNNNNNNNNNNNNNNNNNNNNNNNNNNNNNNNNNNNNNNNNNNNNNNNNNNNNNNNNNNNNNNNNNNNNNNNNNNNNNNNNNNNNNNNNNNNNNNNNNNNNNNNNNNNNNNNNNNNNNNNNNNNNNNNNNNNNNNNNNNNNNNNNNNNNNNNNNNNNNNNNNNNNNNNNNNNNNNNNNNNNNNNNNNNNNNNNNNNNNNNNNNNNNNNNNNNNNNNNNNNNNNNNNNNNNNNNNNNNNNNNNNNNNNNNNNNNNNNNNNNNNNNNNNNNNNNNNNNNNNNNNNNNNNNNNNNNNNNNNNNNNNNNNNNNNNNNNNNNNNNNNNNNNNNNNNNNNNNNNNNNNNNNNNNNNNNNNNNNNNNNNNNNNNNNNNNNNNNNNNNNNNNNNNNNNNNNNNNNNNNNNNNNNNNNNNNNNNNNNNNNNNNNNNNNNNNNNNNNNNNNNNNNNNNNNNNNNNNNNNNNNNNNNNNNNNNNNNNNNNNNNNNNNNNNNNNNNNNNNNNNNNNNNNNNNNNNNNNNNNNNNNNNNNNNNNNNNNNNNNNNNNNNNNNNNNNNNNNNNNNNNNNNNNNNNNNNNNNNNNNNNNNNNNNNNNNNNNNNNNNNNNNNNNNNNNNNNNNNNNNNNNNNNNNNNNGAAAACUCACAUUCAGAUUCAUAUCUCCUGUGUGACUGACCAGUUUAUUCAUUGCUUAUUAGAAGAUCCUUUUAAUAAGAUCAGAAUACAACUGAGUGUCAUUUAUGCUCACAAUUCUGCAAUUCUGAGGAAGCAGUUGUGGGAUGAUCUGAGACUAGUAAAUGUUCCCAGUCAAGAUGCAUGGUUAAUCAGUGGUGACUUUAAUUCUGUCUUAUACUCUAAUGAUAGGAUUGGCUCUCUUGUCACAGAUGCUGAAGUUAGAGGGUUUAAAGAGGUUAUUUCUGAUCUUCAACUGACAUCUCUCAGAUCAAAAGGGUGGAAGUAUUCAUGGACAAACAAGCAAUUCUACAGCAAAAUUGAUUGGGCACUUGGUAAUUUUCAGUAGAUUCUGCAGUAUGGACACCUAGAAGCUGAUUUUAUGAAUCCCUCAGUCUCUGACCACUCCCCUAUUCUCAUACAGUUUGGGUGUCAAAAGUUAUUGCAUCCUAAACCUUUCAGAUUCUAUAAUGCUAUUAUGGAGGAUCCUCAGUUUUCUUCUAUUUUGCAGCAUGUAUGGUCUCAGAAGUGUGAAGGUUCACCUUUGCAACAGAUAUGGUAUAAAUUGAAGAACUUGAAGCAGCAAUUAAAAGAACUGAACAGUCAUAUGGCUUCCUAUAAACAGAAGCUAAUCCAUGCUAGAGAAUCACUGGAUAUUAUACAGAUUCAGCCUCUACAUAAUCCAUUUUCAGAGCAGCUGUUUAAAGAGGAGAAAGCAACUCUUAAUUACAUUGAGAAAUGGAGCAAUGUUGAAGAGCAAGUUAUGAGGCAGAAAUCAAAGGCAUGCUGGAUAGAAUGUGGAGAUGCCAAUAAAAAUAUUUUCAUGCUCAGUGGAAGAUUAUAACCAGUCAGAAUAAUAUUACUUCUAUAUACACUGAUGCAGGUAUAAAGCUGACAGAUCCAGUGGAUGUGGAGCAGGAAUUUAUUGAGGUAAUCAAGUCAUUAAUGGGUGAAUGUGCUGAUGAAUUGCCUUGUAUUAACACUGCUAUGGUUAAGGAAGGACACUGUCUGACCUUAUCACAGCAAAGGUCACUUAUUCAGGAUGUUACUCUGGAAGAAAUCACUGAAGCUAUCAAAGAUAUGCCUAAAGCAAAAUAUUUUCAUGCUCAGUGGAAAAUCAGAACCAGUCAGAAUAAUAUUACUUCUAUAUACACUGAUGCAAGUAUAAAGCUGACAGAUCCAGUGGCUGUGGAGCAGGAAUUCAUUGAGGUAUUCAAGUCAUUAAUGGGUGAAUGUGCUGAUGAAUUGCCUUGUAUUAACACUGCUAUUGUUAAGGAAGGACACAGGAAUUCAUUGAGGUAUUCAAGUCAUUAAUGGGUGAAUAUGCUGAUGAAUUGCCUUGUAUUAACACUGUCUGACCUUAUCACAGCAAAGGUCACUUAUUCAGGAUGUUACUCUGGAAGAAGUCACUGAAGCUAUCAAAGAUAUGCCGAAAGACAAAGCACCAAGUGUAAAUGGCUUCCCUGUGGAGUUCUUUACUAGCAACUGGGAGAUUGUCAAGGAAGAUGUAUAUGAUGCUACACAGGAUUUCUUGACUACUUGUAAGCUGCCUUACUUGGUCAACACUACUGCCAUUGCCCUUGUGACUAAUGUUAAAGCUCCUAGAACAGUGAAAGAUUAUAGACCUAUUGCAUGCUGCACCACUAUCUAUAAGNNNNNNNNNNNNNNNNNNNNNNNNNNNNNNNNNNNNNNNNNNNNNNNNNNNNNNNNNNNNGCUCAGUUGCAUAGAAAUGGAGAUUUCAACUUCCAUCCAAGAUGCAGGAAGCUGAACUGUGCCCAUAUUUGUUUUGCUGAUGAUCUUCUACUAUUCUGUCGAGCUGAUAUUAUAUCUAUCCAGAUUCUGCAUGAUGCUUUCCUUACAUUCUCUACAGCUUCUGGACUGUAUGCAAACAACACUAAGAGUGCUGUUUAUCUGGCUGGGGUUCAUCAGACUGUCAAAGAGGCCAUACUAGAGUCUUUGGGAUUCAUUGAUGGUCAACUACCUUUCAAAUAUUUAGGGAUACCUCUCCAAUCUAAGAAGCUUGCCAUCCACCAUUAUUUGCCACCGAUAGAGAGGAUAACUGAAAAAAUCACCUGCUGGUCUGCCAAAUUAUUAUCUUAUGCAGGAAGGAGUCAACUGAUCAAAACUGUGAUAUUUGGAAUCCAAACUUAUUGGGCACAAAUAUUCAUCUUACCAAAGAAAGUUAUGAAAAUUAUAGAAGCUGUCUGCAGAUCUUAUCUGUGGACUGAAAGUGCAACAAUAUCCGAAAGAGCUCUGGUAGCAUGGGAAAUGAUCUGUAGACCUAUCACUGCUGGAGGCCUCAACAUUAUAAAUAUGCAGAUAUGGAAUAAGGCUGCAAUCACCAAGCUACUGUGGGAUUUAGCUAGGAAGAAAGAUUGUUUGUGGAUCAAGUGGAUACACUACUAUUAUAUUAAGAACUGUGACAUUGCUACAAUGCCCAUUCCCAAGGCAACGUCUUGGGUGGUUAGAAAAAUAAUAGAGAGCAGAAUUACUCUUCUGAAUAUUCAACAACUGCAAGGUGAUCUCAUGCUUAGAUUGGAUGGACUGUGAAGGCUAGGCAAGUUCCAUAUUCAGAAACUGUACCAUGUUAUGCUCCCUAUAUUUCCUAGGGUGGAAUGGAAGAAUCUGAUGUUGACAUCUAAUGUUCUUCCUCGACUUAAAUUCACUGCUUGGCUUGCUUCUCAAGGUCGACUCCCUACUGUUGACAGAUUACUGAAGAUUGGAGUGAAUAUGGAUCAGAAAUGUGUAUUCUGUGAUCAUCAGACAGAAGACUUUGCUCACCUGUUUUUUGAAUGCCCAGNNNNNNNNNNNNNNNNNNNNNNNNNNNNNNNNNNNNNNNNNNNNNNNNNNNNNNNNNNNNNNNNNNNNNNNNNNNNNNNNNNNNNNNNNNNNNNNNNNNNNNNACAGAACAAUUGGUAGUUGGAAUACUGAAAUCCAAUGGGUAUGCUGCCUAGCUAGAAGUAAACUGUGGCAUAAGGCUGUUGCUGCUACUGCCUUUGUUACCACAGUUGCACUCAUUUGGAGAAAUAGAAACUAUAUCAGAUUUGAGGGGAAACCAUUAGAGAAAAAUCAGUUCUGUCGCGAGGUUGCAUUGCUCAUUCAUAUUCGGGGCAUAAACUGUAAGAGUUGGCAAACGGGACUGCGACAACUUAACCAUUACCCUUAGCCUUAGAUGUAAAUUCUUGUAUUAGCAUAGUAUUGAACUAUAAAGUAGUAGUUAGUCUAUACUACUACUAUGAAACUCUCCAUUGUAUUUUUUUGAUAUCAAUGAAUGCAUAAUGUUAAACUUAACAAAAAAAAAAACUAACAUAAUUUUAUUGCAAAUUCAUUUAGUAUUUUAAAGCUAAAUUGCAUGUAAUUGCAAUUAUAGUCCACUUUCAGAUUCAAUAGUAUUUUUUAAUUGUAAAAUAAAUUCCAGUAUUUUUAAUUUAAUAUUUACAUAUUUAUUAUUGACUUAGUGCUUUUAAUUUAAUGUUAAAACUCUUUUAUUAUUUUUAUAAAAUCAAAAGGUAAAAUUACUAUUUCAAUUAUGGCCUCAAUUUCUUUAGAUUUAUCCUAUUUUGACCCCCCCCAGUUCACCUAAGAUUAGGCCCCAAAUUAACAACCCUAUUCAAUUUAACCCGACCCCUGACCCGUUUGACUAAACCCAUCCGUUUUAACAUUUAAUCAUGGUCGUUGCUCAUUUUGAUCAACGACUCAUAUCCAUCCUUUACUUUUUAAUCCUACAAAACCCUAACCCCAUCUCUCAUUUCUCUUAUGUAGCCUCCUUUGAAUCCUCUACUUCUCUCAAACUCUCUCUAACACUCGAAUCCUAGCCGCCCCAUAUCGCGUCUCUGACCAAAUUCCACCGGCGUCGAUGGCUUCAAGCCAUGAACGGCCUGUGCUCUCUCCCCUUCACCCCAAAUCUUGGUUGUUUGAGGUUUUUGAGGUUCACCCUUAACAACGCCUGUCUAGAUCCUCCGCCGAUCUGAUUUCCUGUUACUUCUCCUACUCCGUUCUGACGUGUUUGAGGCUUAAAAGGCCUAGCUAUGGUCCAGACCUGUUCGAUACCAAAUCCUUUCCAGCCCUUAUCGUCUCUAGGGUUUCUGAGAAACCCUAAAAGCCGUUCGAGGUUCCUUCUUCCUUUAUUUUCUUAGAUCUGUGUUACACUCGAGAUUUUUAAUGCUUUUCCCCAUUCUUCUUUUUCAAAACUAGUCUGUUCUAAUUAGGGUUUUUCAAAACUCGUAAUACGGUUUCUGUUUCUUCUUCUUCAUCUUCUUCUUCUUUCUGCCUAUAUAUGCUUUGUUCUUAUGUGUUUUCUCUUGUUCAUAUCUUCUCUUAAGUUCGUAUGUUUUGCCAUUAUUAUGCAUGUUCUUCUACUUCUGCUCUAUUAUCUCUUCUACUGGUUUUCUACAACAUGCUUUUACAUGUUUAUCCAAUGUGUUCCUCUACUAUUUUCUUACUAAGUUUCUUGUUUGCCUUGUUGGUCCUUAGUUUGAGUUCUAAACUAAUUUCGCCUACUGUUUCUUAAGUUUUAUGUUACCUCUCUUCUCUCUUGAACUUGCUUGAGUUCUGAGCUUCUCUUAAUCAUGCUUUGUUUUUUACUAUAUUGCUUCAAACUUGCCAUUAUAUCUAUGUGCUUUCUCAUGAUACUCUCUGAGUCUAUUUUGAUGGCUUGCACUCUCUUUUCUAUACCCUAUUCGAAUUUGAAACCCUAGGGUUUGGGGCUCCUGCGAGUUUUUGGUCUUUGAAAUUUGAACUAGGGUUGUACUUUGGACUAGAAUCUUUUGCUUAUGAUUAGAAACUUUCUGUGCCAGUCUUUCUUUUCUUGUUUGGCACCUGUGUGCUUUAUAUAUGAAAGCUUUUUCUUUCAAAAGGAUUCUGCCAACUUUUAAUUGAUUCAAAUAUCCCUUUACUAAGGCUCGAUUGAUUGUUACUGAUUUUCCAAAUUAAACCUUUUCCUCUCCCUUUUCUGACUAAGUUCAUUCGAGCAAGGUUUUCAAUUUAUUGGUUGUUGGAUUGAUUUACUUUCCUUACUUUUUCAAACCGUGUACCAUAUGACUUAGUUAAAAUCUGUGUACUUACCCUUGUUAUACUACUCUGAAAAGGUUUAGUUAUUUUUUCUUUCCUUAAUUAUCUCAUGCCCGUUUGAAAUCAAAUCCCUUAACCUAGGGGAGAUCCUUAUGUGAUUGAUUGCAAAUUAUUUCUUACCUUCUGCUUACUCGUUUUUGGCACUAUAAGAGGGGAUUACCCUUCUGCUCUUAAGGACACCAUCCACACACUACUCUUUCUGCACACUUUUGCAAUAACAACCUUUACACAUAUACACCUCUGUCUUGAAAAAUAUACUACUUUCUCUACUACUAGUCUCUCCUCUACUACUUUCUCUACAACUUUCUCUACUACUGCUUUCUCUACUGAGCACCCUGAUCCUCUUCUCAUUACUAUGAAAACAUUAUUUGAGUUCCCUUGAAUUCUCAAGUGCUUGCUAAAGUUUCUCAGUUUGCUCUUGCUAACUCUCUGGCUGUUUACUUGCUAUUGUUGUUCUACUGUUCUGAAAAUUGCAUUUUGUAUGUCUUCCUAGUUAAAUACUACCCUCCUAACUAUAUCUUUAUUUCCCUUAUUCUAUUAUGCAUUAUCCAUUUAGUCUGUCAUGCUCUCUUUCAUCAUGUUUUGCACCUUCAAGUCUGUUAUGCCUUCUUGCUUUCUUCAUGUUUCUGUAAAUGCUUUCUUAUGUGAUACCCCCUUCCCUUUGACCCCCUCUUAUGUUUGAGUAAUUUUGAGUCAUGUUGGUAUUUUAUUGCCACUCAUGACUUAGAAUUAGGUUCUCUUGAAUCUUUUCUCAAGUCAAUUUCCCAUUUUCUUUAUCCCUUAUAUGCUGAGCCUUAACUUAGGUCUAGUGGUGUCCUAAUCACCAUCCAGACCCAAGUUUGACUUCUAAAGUCUGCUCUUUAUUUUCUUGGACCAAGAAGAGGGCAGGGGUGUGCUAAUCCAUGCCCAUGAAUUGGUAUGACCACCUUCUAUUAUGGCUCCCUCUUUCACUUUAAACUCAUUCCUAGUUCUAAGUUUUGCCCCCCCCCCCCUUUGGCAAGCCAUGCUUUGGGAUGCUGGAGUUCCCUCUGAACUUGGAUACUUGAGGGCUGGUAAUUCCACACUGCACUAUUCUGAUACAACAAUUGGUAUUCAUAGUGUAAGCAUUGCCUGGGGCUCUUGAAGCUUUUUGGAACUUUAAAACACUUUGAAUAAGAGAAGGCCUUGGAAUCUGGAAUCCGAAUUUGUUGAAACGCAUGUUAUUGGAUAUUAUGAUUGAAUUAGGCUAUUCGGAUUGUAUUUUUAUUUACUUUCUUUCUUCUGGUUCUGCAAUAAUCUUGUAAAAAGAACUCGGGUAAGUAUUAGUAAAGGGUGUGGGAGGGGUUUACUUUAUUGCGCAAAAAGGGUUGAUACCAUGCCUAUAGGACCAAUGUUUGUUAUUCAGUCACUUAGACAUCAUUCCUAUAGGUUCAAUGCUUUAAUCACCUAGAGAUCAUGUCUAUAGGUUUUUAAAAUUUCUUAAUGCAAUCAUUAGAAAUUCUGCCAAUAGGACUUAAUAAUCAAACAACAGUUGCAUAUAGAAAUCAUGUCUAUAGGAAAUGUAUAAAUGCUAAAAAAACUGUAGGGUAAUCAAAUACUCAUUUCUUACCGGUUUAUUAAUAGUAACGAGCCUUAAAAAUCAAGGUAUAGAUAUCCUGCCUAUAGGGGUUCACACUCGACUUAAUCUGUAUUGAUAAUAAUUUGGCAAUUGGCUUCAGCGUUUUUCAGCAAAACUCGUCCAGACCUGUUUAUUUCAAAAAAAAAAAAAAACUCUUACAAGUGUGGAAUGCCUCUUAAAAUUUUCUAAAAUUGCAUCUUCUUUUUCUGAAACAGGUUUCAAACUUCUGUCUGAAUUUUUAUUCAUCUCAUGAAGCUACUAUUUCAAAAUAGUCUUUAACUCAUUCUUACUUUUAAAGUCUUUUCACUCUCAAAACUCUUUUUCAUCACUCUAUUGUAUUUCAUUCUGCCGAUUUCAAAGCCAUCUCUGAGCUCCUGCAAUUUUCAGUCUCCUAUUUCAAACUCUUCUGCAUUAGGUUCGUAAUCAAUAACCUGUUUCAGACACCUAAAUUUUAGACAAUAUUAUCCGGGUUUCCUAAUACAUACUUUUUAUCCGACUCUAUAUGUUAAACUAGUCCGCCACUUAUGUUUUAAAUGUAAAGAGCAAAUCAGUAUAUGUAAGGCAUGCUAAACUAGAUGCUAUGUGACUUACAGGGUUUUGUGUGAACCUUGGGUGUUUGUUUAUUCCCCAUUACUUGCUAUUUAUAUUGGUUGUCGCCAAUAGUAUUUUAUCCUUUUAAACCCCAUAUAUGCCCCUACCCCUUUCGUUUCCUUUUAGAAUUAGAAGUCAUAAUACUCCAGGAGAGAUAGUUUGGAACGGGUACUAGUGUGCAAUAAGUAAACGAGACUAAUCGCAUUUAAAUACCUUAACGGGGCAGGAAGGAUAGAAUAUGGAUAUGAUGACUGUGCGCUAAUUUCUUGUGUGACCCUACUUCGAGAAGUGAUUGCUGGGUAUUGCAUUGAUGUGAUCCGUAUUGCAUUUAAACCUAGGACCCCCUUUCUUUUCUUUCGUAAUGUUUUUCCUUAAGUAUUCUCAUUUCUCUGCAUCAAGUCCUAUUCUAAAGACUGUCUAUCUUCAUUUCUUUUCAAAGUUCUAAACUUAUCUGUAACUACUAUGUGCAAACCUUACUUGUUUCCUUCUAUUUCUUUUAAAAUCACAAUUAAGCAUGAUCGAGAACCACACUAGUGGAUCUUGAGGGGUGCCUAACACCAUCCCCUUCAGAUAAUCUCAAGCACUUACCCGAACUCUGGUUUUCCUUCAAAAUCUUCUUCUCUUCUUUAAAAGUGCCCUAAUUCACUAUAAUCGUUAGGUGACGACUCUUUAAAUUCCAUAACCCAAUUCCCUAAAAGGGAAUAUGAGUUGUUUUGUCCAUAAUGUUGUAAACCCGAUUUUGCCUAUCUUUAUAGGAGGAAAAAAGGGGGCGUCGACAGCAUGGCGACUUUGCUGGGGAUUUCUUUAGGUUUUUACCAUUACAUACUUUGUGUGCCUGUAUUGCUCUCUUAAUUGCCUUUAUUUCUUGCCUUUAAUUAUUUCAUGGAAACUAACUUGACUCUUCAUGUCUUUCUUUUCCUUCAACUACUUUUCUUUAUUGCUUUAUUACUACUUUAAUACCGUUGUAAUUUUCGAGUAUUUAUUGUAAUAUUUUACUUUAAGAACGUGAAAAUACAUGCAACUUGCUUCAUUCUUGUAACUGCAUUCUUCAACAUCAAACUCCACUCGUGCCAAAACAAAUACUAUAACAAUGCUUACAAUGAGUGGUUGCGCCCAUACGAUAUUAUAGCCCCCUAAAUGUGGCAAAGGCAUAUUUGCGGUAAAACCAGUCGAACAACGGUGUAGUUGACGGUUCCGAGCCUUUCCCUCUUGAGUUGUCCGCUCAAAGGUACCUUGUCUAGCACUUCAAAAAUAGAAACCUUACUCUAUUAAGUUGUUCAUGCAACAUGGUCAACUUAGCCGAGUCAGUUAUGUUUUUCACAUAAUGACCCAUUAAGAUAUCCUAAACUAAAGUCCAUCGGGUUUCCUCGAAACCCAAGCGGACGCCUUCACGUACUAUGCAUUUAUUUGGAGAGCAAAAUGUCGUUAUGCUAAUUAUUGAUUUAAAUAGUCGAGUCUGGGUCUAACCCUUUGUUUUGCAAAAAAUUAGGCACGAAGUCCCUAGAUUCAGUAUGAUAACCAACAUUCACCCAAGGCUGCUAAGCUGGUGGAGGAUCUUCAUGCCACCGAUCAGACCCUUGUCCGCAAGCACUUAGGGUAUUUGCCCUCACUUCUAGAAAUUCAGCCUAACAACAAAAUCAUAGAGGCUGCAACUCUAUUAUGGGAUAGUGAUCGAUCGGUGUUUCGCUUCAUGGAUUUAGAAAUGACUCGUUUAUUCGAAGAGAUAAAGGGUCUAGCUGGUAUCCCUUGGAAGACUUCGGGUUUGCUUAUGCCGGAAAACUGCAAAAUUAGAGGCUUUCUUAAGAUGAUGGGACUCAAGAAAAAUUCCAACCUAGCUUAUCUGAAGGACUCUUACAUACCGUUUGAUUUCUUGUACGAUAGAUAUGGCCAUAGCAAGUCCUAUUGCACCUACACUGACGAGUUCGCCCUUACCUCUUUAAGGCAUAUACACAGAAGGGUCUUUGUAUUCAUGUUCUGUUUCCUGGGUAUGAUGGUCUUUCCUAUGAAAAAGGAUAGGAUCCACGUCAGACUAGCCAUGGUGACCAAGACCUUAAUGGAAGGGAUCGACGGGCAGUAUUUCAGCAUAGUUCCUAUGAUCACCGCUGAAAUCUACCGAGCCUUGGGAAAAUGUCAACAAGGGGCUCCGCACUUCGAGAGUUGUAAUCUGCUACUUCAACUGUGGCUUAUAAAACACCUUCAGAAAGGUGAAUACCGACAUGAAAUUAUACCCAGGGAGUGGGAUGAUCAUAUCACUUUCCACCACCCCAAGCGAAUGAACUUAAUGCCCAACAUGUUCGCUCAGCCGGAAGAUGCUGGAGGAUGGGUAAAGCUGUUUGAAAAUCUAAAAGAAGAGCAAGUACAGUGGAUGUUCGAGUGGUUCCCAAUAGGGAAAUUCACUGUUCGUUCUCGAGAUGACCGUUCCUCAUACUCAUCGGUCUGAGGGGAACUCAUCCUUAUGUCCCUCUCCGAGACAUGAGGUAAGCAGGGAGAAAAAAAAUCAUACCAAGGAUAGACAAGAUGAGUCAUUUCAGGGCUAACUUUCAGGAUGAUGUUAGCCCGCACAAGUGUCAAGCUCAACAUAUUUGGCACUGCAAGCUCGUCUUAGGGAGAGAAUAUAUUGAGCCAGAAAGGUAUCUUGCCGGGUGUGUUACGCAUUACUUAGGGCGGUUAGUAGAUGAUCACAUUGGUUCAGGGUUCAUCCGAGGUCAUAGACUUAUUGAUGAAAAAGUUGCAGCACUAGUCAAAUACAAUCAACUACACAAGAGGAUGCGAGAGUGUGAAAAUGAGCACCAGGAAAUACAGGAAGCCCACCAGAAGCUGGUCGACGAGUGGAAGGAUAUGGGUGUCAAUGCCCACAAUCGGCUAGGGUAUCUGGAACGAUGUCUGGUGGAUUUGGAAGGAAAGUUCUUGAAGAGGAUUGAAGAUUGCUAGAAUGCUGAGGGAUGUACGGGCGGACAUCUGGCUCGAGCCUACCUGCUGUUAGGACUAUGAGUUUAUGCAACUGUAUGAGGGAGGCAAGAGUACUGAAUCUGGGGAAAGUCCUUCUGGGACCAAGUAGUUAGGACCUUUUUAUUCUACUGCUUUCAUAAUGUAAUAAGGCCAUUACCAUUAGAGACUUUUUUUAUUAUUCGGUCGUUUCUAAGACUCGUCUUAUUUUAUCAAUAAAAUUAGGCAUUUAGCUUAUAUGUUCUCCAAAUUUAAUUUGUCUCUAGGCCUACCUCGGGCACAACGAGGCAUCCAAAUUAGGAAAUGACUUAUAUUCCUGCAUAAUGUGUUUAAAUAUCACAAUUUUAUUUUUCUCAGAAUCCUCACUAACUUUUUACCUUUUUUUUUCUUUCAUUUUUAUUCCCCUCCCCAAGGUUAGUUCGUGCAUUCUGGCACCAUCAGCGUACUCAACAAGAUCCAAGGGCCUCCACCUCCUCCUCCUCCUCCUCCUACCAGAAACAGGAACAAAGGCAAAAUGGGAGAUGCGAAUGCUAGAAAAGAAAUGGAGGAAACUUCUCAGAACAUUUCAAUUACCAAGGAGACUAUUGCUUAUCUUGAGCAGACUUUGCUGAAAUUUCGGGAAGAAUUAGAAUAAGUCUGGAACCUGGCAAGCCUAUCUAUCACUCUUGCCGCUGCUGAUGCCAACACUAGAACCCCGUACCUCCACUGCCACCAGUACAACCUACUAAUACCCAAGCCUGCAAUACAUGUAAUAAUACUCCACUUCUCAUUCCCUAGCCAUAACACACCAGAAACGACCAUAGCACUCCUAUUUUUGUGGACACUAUACCCCACUAUACUCAGCCAAUCUCAAGUGCACCCGAAUCAAAUGACAAGGACUCCUUCAUUAAAAAUUUGUCCACUGAACUCAAGAAGUUAAAUAGCCGGGUCCAAGGUAGCAAAGGCGUUGAGGGUUUGAACUAUGAUGAUCCGUGUACGCAGCCAGAUGUUGAACUCCCAGAAGGGUACAAACCUCCCAAGAUCGAGAUAUUCGACGGUACAGGUGAUCCUAGGGUCCACCUGAGAAUGUAUUGUGAUAAGCUGGUAGGAGUUGGAAGGGAUGAGAAAAUCCACAUGAAUCUAUUCUUGAGGAGUCUAAAAGGCGAUGCCUUAUCUUGGUAUAUCAGCCAGGAUGCAACGAAAUGGACAAGUUAGGUGAGCAUGGCGUCCGACUUUAUGGACCAGUUUAGCUUAAACACUAUCAACACACCAGAUGUGUUCUAUAUCCAGAAUCUGAAGAAGAAACCCACAGAUACUUUUUGCGAGUAUGCUACUCGUUGGAGGUCAGAAGCUGCUAAGGUUAGGCCGGUGUUAGAGGAAGAGCAGAUGAAUAGGUUCUUUGCCCGGAGGGACGAGAAAAUCCACAUGAAGCUAUUCAUGAGGAUUCUGAAAGGCGAUGCCUUAUCUUGGUAUAUCAGCCAGGAUGCAAAGAAAUGAGCAAGUUGGGUGAGUAUGGCAUCUGACUUUAUGCACUAAUUCAGGUUCAACACUAAGAAUUCACCGGAUGUGUUCUAUAUUCAUAAUUUGAAGAAGAAAACCACAGAAACCUUUUGUGAGUAUGCUACUUGUUGGAGGUCAGAAGCCGCCAAGGUCAGGCCAGUCUUAGAGGAAGAACAAAUGAAUAGGUUCUUUGUCCAGGCUCAGGAUCCAUAAUACUAUGAAAGGCUGAUAGUAAUAAAGGGUCAAAAGUUUUCCAACAUCAUCAAGUUGGGAGAAAGAAUCGAAAAAGGUAUCAAGAAUGGUUUGGUCACCAAUAUUGAAGCAUUACAGGCCACCAACAAGGCCUUACAGUCUGGUGGCACGUCAAAGAAAAAGAAUGUGAAUUUCUUAAUGGCUUUGCAAAGAACCAAAUCACUUAUGAAGUACCGAACCUAUCCCUCAACCCCACUCACAUAUCAACGUACCCUAAAUUACCAAGCACCUUCACAUACAUACUAAAUGCCACCAUCUGCCUACCAAUCACCUCCACUGCCCACAUAUCAACAUAUAUCACCAAGAUACUCCCAACUUGCGCCUGUGUACCAAGCAUACAACUCCUAACCUUCUCAUUACCCAUCACCACCCACUCACCAAUACUUUCCUCGACCCAGACCAAAUUUCGACCGAAGACCUCCCAGACAUUAUACUGCCAUCACCAAAUCAAUUGACCAAUUUUAUGAAAAACUCAAAUCGGUCGGUUACGUUUCACAUCACAUCCAUAACCCCAGAAAUCCUUUCCAAUGGAUCAAUCCCAACAAAACCUGCGCAUACUAUUCUGGAAUGAAAGGCCAUACCAUCGACGAGUGUCGCUCAUUGAAAGACAAGAUUUAGACUUUAAUUGAUAACAAGGUCAUGAUAGCAAAGGAGCGUGCUCACAAUGUCCGCAACAACCCUCUGCCUGACAACAAGGGUGGGGGCAUCCAUAUGAUCAAGAUUGAGGAUGAUUGGGACCCCAAAAGGUCAAUCAGGUUGAUAGCUGAAGGAGAUGAACCUAAGAAGUCGGUGGUUACCCUCAAUCCCAUUAUUGUUCAGAUCUAACCCUCUGAGGGCGAUGUGGUAAAUAUGUCUAUACUACUCGAGUUUGAAGCACCUCCUGCAAAGGCGCCAAAACUAUUCGGGACUCCAAAGGCACCUUCACCAUUCAAAGUUGUCGUGUUACCUCCUAGGAUCCCAGUUCCAGUUUGGAUGAUAAACGUGGCCCCGUUCAAGUCAAACGCUAUACCGUGGGAUUACACUGCUGAGGCUCGAAGGAAAGGGAAGACAUAUACCGGAAAAGCGGUCACCGCACAGGGCAUGACCAGAACAGGCAUGGUAUACAACCCAGAACAUUUAGCUGAGUCCAGCAAGCAAGCCUCUGGACGACCAGCUGAAACUGGACCCGAUGACCUCUAGAGGAAGAUACAUGCCAAAGAAUACUCAGACGUUGAGCAACUGACAAAAACACCAGCACAAAUUUCCAAUCCUGUCUCUUCUACAAAGCUCAAAAGCACAUAAGAAUGCCUUGAUGGAGAUAUUAAGGGAAGUUUAUAUUCCCAGCAACAUAACGGAAGGCGGAAUGGCGAAUAUGUUAGGGCAAGUACUGGAAAGUCAUAUGGUCACCUUCCACGAGGAUGAGUCACGCCAGAAGGACUUAGUCACAACAAGGUGUUGCAUAUCUCUAUGCAAUGCGAAGACUAUUUCAUCACUAGGAUCUUGGUCGACUGGGGAUCUAGCCUUAACAUUUGUUCGCAAGUGACUCUCAAAACAUUAGGGAAAGGUUUGCAUGAGAUCAAAGAUGGGGCUAUCAAAGUUAAAGAUUUUGAUGAGUGUCAAAGAUCUAUCAUCAGAGAAAUUAGCAUGUGCUUGCAGAUGGGACCUACCUGGUUAGAUGGUAACUUCCAAGUCAUAUACGUGCCAUCGUCCUAUAAUUUAUUGCUGGGACGACCCCGGAUCCACGCCGUUGGGCUAUGGCAUCAACCCGACAUCAAGCAGUGAAGUUAUAAUGGAAUCAUCAGGAAGUGAUAAUUCAUGGCGACAGUAGCAACCCUAUAUACAGUCGCCAAACCAUCCCAAUGAUCGGAGGUAGAAGGAGAAUAGGCGAAGAAACAUACCACCACGUCGAGCGAGUCAAAACUGUGGUCAAAGACAAAUGGUGGGAUAACAAGAUUGAGAGCAUCUUGAAUUGGAGUGGGUAUGAAUCCGGAAAGGGCUUGGCAAGAACCUCCAGAUCAUUACCGAGCCUAUAAAACUAAAGAAACAUGGCACUACUUUUGGAUUUGGGUAUGAGUACACCUGGAAGGAGUUUGAUGAUUGGUUACCACAUUGGCGCAGCCCAUAAUAUUAUCCACUGGAGCACCCUUUACCUCAGCUGGAGCAGACCUAUUAGCCUGUUGAAACUUAAUGUGGAUUAGAGGAAGACGAGACACUGGCAAGAAGAAGAACUUAUUUCUGGGAGAUGAUAUGGACUGAUAUGUUAUCUUCGAGGAGGAAGGGGAGAAAGGCCCUUCCAUUCAAGUUGUGAACCGAGGAGAAUGCCUCACCAAUUGUUUGGUCAGGACCACCAGUGCAUGGAAAGCUUCAGGGUAGCAAGGCUAUGACACACCAUUCAUCGUAUUGUACGUUUUAGUUGAUUUUACCUUUUCGCAUUGUUUUUACUUUUGAAAAGAGCUCCAAAGUUUCGAACAGUUAUGAUUUAAUCAAAAGCAUUUUCCAAGUUUAUUUUAUAUCUCGCUCUUAUUAAUUUUCUCUAUCACGUACUUUAUUUUACAUAGCAUUACUAUUACAUAUCUUGAUGAUGAACCAACCACUGUGAUUUGCAACGAGGCAAUGAAACAAACAUACAUAGAUUUAGAAGAGAAUGAUAUACCAGAGGAAGCUUUCAGAGAGAUUGAGAACUUUGAGAAUAGGCCUAAGUAUAAUUUGGACGAAACUAAGGUCGUUAAUUUGGGCGACAACGAGAAUGUUAAGGAAACAUGUAUCAGCGUACAUUUGUCACCAUCAGAAAAGAAAAAGUACAUUGAGUUCCUAAAAGAGUAUGAGGACGUCUUUGCAUGGUCUUAUGACGAUAUGACUGGUCUCAGCACAUCCAUCGUUUCUCACAAAUUGCUAGCAGAUUCUACAUGCCCACCGGUAAAACAGAAGCUCAGAAAAUUCAAGCCAGACAUGAGUUUGAAAAUAAAAGACGAGGUUACCAAGCAAGUCAAGUCCAGGGUUCUCCGAGUGGUAGAAUAUCCGAUGUGGUUAGCCAACAUCGUGCCAGUACCGAAAAAGGAUGGGAAGGAUAAAGUCUGUGUCGACUACCGGGAUCUCAACCGGGCCAUUCCCAAAGACAACUUCCCUUUUCCAAAUAUACACAUCUUGAUCAACAACUGUGCCAAGCAUGAGCUGUUGUCGUUCGUAAAUUGUUUAGCUAGAUACCAUCAGAUAUUGAUGGAUAAAGAAGAUGCAGAAAAUGACAUUUAUCAUGCCGUGGGGGAUGUAAUGUUACCGAAUAAUGACGUUUAGUUUGAAGAAUGCCGGUGCUACCUAAAGGAGGUCCAUGACUACCCUCUUUCAUGACAUGAUACAUAAAGAAAUCGAAGUAUAUGUGGAUAACGUCAUCAUCAAAUCCAUGAAAACUGCGGGUCACAUGGAAGAUCUAAGAAAAUUCUUCAACGGGUUAAGGAGAUACAACUUGAAACUGAACACCGCCAAGUGUGCAUUCGGGAUUCCUGCUAGAAAGUUACUGGAUUUCAUUGUGAGUUGCCGGGGAAUGGAAUUGGAUCUAUCAAAGGUCAAGGCCAUUCAAGAGUUUCCACCGCCAAAGUCCACUGUUAUUUGUGAACCCAUUUUCAAAAUGCUGAAGAAGGAUGUUGCCACCAAAUAGAGUGAUGGUUGUUAGAAAUAUUUUGAUUAAAUUAAGAACACUUAUCUACGCCGCUAGUCUUGGUUCUGCCUGAACCAGGAAGACCCCAUUUGCUCUAUCUCGCAGUUCUGGAUGGAGCAUUCGGUUGUGUUUUGGUACAACAUGAUGAAACAGGAAGAAAGGAGCAAGCAAUCUAUUACCUCAGCAAGAAAUUUACCACGUACAAGGCUCGGUAUUCCUUAUUAGAGCGCAGAUGUUGUGCUCUGACUAGGUAGCUCAGAAAUUGAGGCAUUAUUUCUGUGCCUACACAACUUAUCUCAUAUAGAGGAUGGAUCCAUUGAAAUUAUAUCUUUUUGAUGCCCAUGCCUACCGGCAAGCUCGCUAAACGACAAAUCCUUUAAAGUGAGUUCGACAUUGUUUAUGUUAUCUAGAAGGUGAUCAAAGGACAAGAUUUGGAAUAUCAUCUUGCCGAGAAUCCUGUAGGAGGAGAAUACAAGCCUCCAAUGAUGUAUUUUCCUAACAAAGAAGUAUCUUUCAUAGGUGAAGAUAUUGCAGAAUCCUAUGAUGGUUGGAGAAUGUUUUUCGAUGGUGCCGCAAAUUUCAAAGGAGUCGACAUGGAGCAGUCCUAGUAUCAGAAAUCGGUCAGCAUUACCUGGUAUCCUCCAAGAUCAGGUUCCCAUGCACCAACAACAUGGCCGAGUAUGAAGCCUGCAUCUUGGGGCUCAAACUGGCCAUUGACAUGAAUGUUCAGGAGUUACUAGUGAUUAGAGACUCAGACCUACUCAUACAUUAGGUUCGAGAAGAGUGGGCAACUAAGAAUUCUAAGAUACUCCCAUAUAUGCAUCACAUACAGCAUUUGAGGAAAAGGUUCGCAAAGACUAAAUUUCAGCAUGUUUCCAGAAUAUAGAAUGCGUUCGCAGACGCACUAGCCACCUUGUCAUCCAUGAUUCAACAUCCAGAUUCAAAUUUCAUUGAUCCCAUCCAAGUCAAAAUCUAUGACCAACCAGCUUAUUGUGUUCAUGUUGAGGAAGAACCAGAUGGAAAGCCAUGAUUCCACGACAUCAAAGAGUAUCUGACCACAAGAGAAUAUCCAGAGUUUGCCAAUGCUACUCAGAAGUGCACGCUUUGGAGAUUAUCCAACUACUUCUUUCACAUCGGGAGAAUCCAUUACAGAAGGACUCCUGAUUUGGGAUUUCUAAGGUGUGUUGAUGCAAGGGAAGCACUUAAUAUUGGAGGAAGUACACACAGGAACCUACGGACCGUACAUGAAUGGUUUCGUUUAGGCAAAAAAGAUACUCUGAGCAGGGUAUAUUUGGAUGACUAGGGAAACUAACUGUAUCCUGUAUGUCCGAAGGUGCCAUCCUUGUUAGAUACAUGCAGAUAUGAUAGAAGUACCUCCAAAUGUGCUUACUGAAACAAGCUCACCAUGGUCGUUCGCUGCUUGGGGAAUGGAUGUUAUUGGACCAAUCGAGCCUGCGGCAUCAAAUGGACAUAGGUUUAUCUUAAUGGCAAUUGACUAAUUUUCUAAAUGGGAUGAAGUCGCAUCAUAUAAAGCAGUUACCAAAAAAGUUGUAACAGAUUUCGUCCAUGAACGUAACAUUUUUCGGUUCAGAAUUUUGGAAUCAAUCCUCACCGACAGCGAUUUGAUGAAAGCAACAGCGAUUUGAUGAAAGCGAUGUAUGAAAUAUUCAACAUCAGACACAAGAACUCUACAGUUUAUAGACCUCAAAUGAAUGGAGCUGUAGAAGUAGCCAAUAAGAACAUCAAGAAGAUACUAAGAAAGAUUAUCGAAAAGCAGAAGCAAUGGCCUGAGAAAUUGUCGUUCGCCUUAUUGGGUUACUUACCAUGGUCCGCACAUCAACCGGGGCAACUCCCUAUAUGUUUGUUUAUGGAACAGAGGCGGUCAUUCCCGCUGAAGUAGAAAUUCCCUCCAUGAGGAUCAUACAGGAAGCAGAGUUAGAUGACGCAGAAUGGGUAAAAGGUCGCUACGAGCAGUUAGCCCUUAUAGAUGGAAAGAGAAUGAAUGCAGUCUGCCACGGUCAGUUACAUCUGAACAAAAUGCCCAUGGCCUAUAAGAAAAGAGUGAAACCAAGGAAGUUUACACCAGGGCAGCUGGUGUUGAAGAAAAUACUUCCACAUCAAGAUGAAGUUAAGGGGAAAUUCUCUCCCAACCGGUAGGGUCCAUACAUGAUUCACCGGGUUCUAAGUGGAGGAGCCCUUAUUCUUGCAGAAAUGGACGGAGAAGUAUGGCCGAAGCCAAUCAACCCAGACGCAGUGAAAUGAUACUACAUUUGAUCAUAUGAUUUUUCUUCAUAAUAUAAUUUGAAUUAUGCCUAACCUAAUUCCCGUUUAAGAGGGGAUAGGUAGGCAGCCCUAUGGGUUCGGUCACAUUUUAAUAAAAUUUCCAUUUCCCCUGCUAUUGGAACUAUGGAAGAAUUUUGAGGAGGACCCUCAAAAUUCUGAAGUCAGUUUGUCAGCCUCUUCAUCAGCGCCAACCCAGUAAACCCGGACAGAAUUUUGAGGAGGGUCCUUAAAAUUUUAGAAUCAGUCCGCUUUCAGUUAUGCAGCACUGACAUCAACAGUGCCAGACCAGUAAUUAGUAAAUUUGGGCAGAAUUUUGAGGGGAUAUCGAUCCACUUUCGAUUAUUCAGCUCAAGCCAUCAAUAGCGCUAGCCCAAUAAACUUGGGGAGAAUUUUGAGGAGGACCCUCAAAAUUCCAAGACAAGUGAGACUGCCAUGUCUUGAACCACGUCGUAGUCGUUGGUUCAUCCAAAAUAAAAUUGUUUUUAUGGACUUAUUUAACAAAUCAUGCAUAAACAUCAUUUGGGUCGCUGUUGUUUAGCAAUACUAUACCAAUGAUAAGUGACGUCAAAAGCCAGGGGAUACGAACUAACAUUUCCCCUCUACGGAACUCAUGAUUUUUCUUUGGAUGCAGGCAUUUAGGUAAUAAAAUCAUUGAACGUGCUCACUCAUUAGUGUUAAAUCUCUCAAAACGAUCGCUCAUUCAAAAGUCUACUAUCUACGCACAAUAUUCCCCAGCAGUUAUGAUAUCACAACUGUCUAUCAGCCAAGAAAACUUACUACUAUUCGCUCCUUUACAUUCCUGUAUUUUGCAUAAGGCUAUUUUCUGCCUUCCGAGAUUAAGCUCUACCUCCAUCCUGCAUAAACCUACCCAUCUGCCAUUCGAGACUAAGCUCUUUCUCCAUUCCUGCAUUGCAUAAGGCUAUUUUCUGCCUUCCGAGGUUAAUCUCUACCUCCAUCCUGCAUAAGGCCACUUAUCUGCCUUUCGAGCCUAAGCUCUAUCUCCAUUCCUACAUUGCAUAAGGCUAUUUUCUGCCUUCCGAGGUUAAGCUCUAUCUCCAUCCUGCAUAAGGCUACCCAUUUGCCUUUCGAGACUAAGCUAUGUCUCCAUUCCUGCAGUGCAUAAGGCUACCUUUUUGCCUUUUAAGGUUAAGGUCUACCUUCAUCAUGUAUAAGGCUACUUAUCUGCCUUUCCAGACUAAGCUCUAUCUCUAUCUGCAUUUUGCUUAAGGCUAAUUUUCUGCCUUCCGAGGUUAAGCUCUACCUCCUUCCUGCAUAAGGCUACCUUUCUACCUUUAGAGGUUAAGCUCUACCUCCAUACUGUAUAAGGAUACUUAUCUGCCUUUCGAGACUAGGCUCUUUCUCCAUCUGCAUUUUGCAUAAGGCUACCUUUCUGCCUUUCUAGGUUAUGCUCUCCCUCCAUCCUGCAUAAGACUACUUAUAUGCUUUUCGAGAAUAAGCUUUGUCUCCAUCUGCAGUUCGUAUAAGGCUACUUUUCUACCUUCCGAGGUUAAGCUCUACCUCCAUCCUACAAAAGGCUACCUUUCUGCCUUUCAAGGUUAAGCUCUACCUCCAUCAUGCAUAAGACUACUUAUUUGCCUUUCGAGACUAAGCUUUGUCUCCAUCUUCAUUACAUAAGGCUAUUUUCUCCCUUCCGAGACUAAGCGCUGUCUCCAUCCUACAUGGCUGAAAUAUCGCCAUUUUAUUUUAUUGAACGACUGAAAUAUCGCCACCCGCAUUUAAUUUCUCGUUUUGGCUGAAAGAUCGCCACUCUUUGCAUUCAUUUGGCAGAAAGAUUGCCACCUUCUCAUGGUCUGAAAGUUUGCCAACUUAUUCAAAGGCAUCAUAGUACGGAGGCACCAUCCGCAUAGCCCGAGAACACCAUUUCAUGGCCUGCGAAUCUUUACUUUUUACGCUUUUCAUGGCCCAGAACAUCAUAGUCUGAGGACGUCAUCCUAACUGUCCAUAGGCAGCAUUCAUGGUCCAAUCGGAACUUACAUCAUGUUUAAAUUAUGCACAAUAUAUGGGCACAUUGCUCAUUUACAGGUACACUGGCUAGUAAACGGUCAUUUCAGCAUGAGCGAUCCCGCUCCGGGUUUUUGCAACCUGCUCAACUUCGAAACCUUUCUCAAACAUCACCAUCGUGUCCGUCUUUAAAAUCUCCGUCGACAUAUUCCUUCAAUGGUUCCUGAACUACAUAUGGCCUAAUUCCUGUAAAACCAGGGAUAUGUAGGCAGCUCAGAAACCAGAGCGCGGUCAAUGUUCUUUCAAUCUCCGAUUAAAUCAAAAUUGGCCUCUUGUCUUUACCCGAUAACUCUUCCAUCCUCCUCGGGUAAAGAGGGACAACUGUUGAUAACACCAUUUUUCCAUAUGUAUUUUUAUACCCAAAAUACUUCUAAAAUAUCAGAAUGUGCAUAUACGAGAACACGCACGACUUUUGGUAUUUUUAAAGAAUUUUAAACCAAUUUAUUAACUAUUUUUGUACCAUAAAAUCCAAUAAUUAUUCCAAAAUUAUCAUUUUUGUGAAUAACUUAUUUUAUUCUCGUAUUUAUACCAAAAUAUAGCUAACAUGAUUUUUUGCAUAAUUUUUACAAAUUGAUUUAGUAUUUUGAAGCUAAAUUGCAUGUAAUUGCAAUUAAAGUCCACUUUCAGAUUUAAUAGCAUUUUUUAAUUACAAAAUAAAUUCUAAUAUUUUUAAUUUAGUAUUUACAUAUUGUUUAUUGACUCAGUGCUUUUAAUUUAAUUUUAAAACUCUAUUACUAUUUUUAUAAAAUCAAAAUAGAAAACUGGCUAUUUCAAUUAUGGCCUCAAUUUCUUUCAAUUUUAGCCUAUUUUGACCCCCCCGCCCCACAAUUGACCAAAAAUCAGGCCCCAAUUUAACAUCCCAAUUCAAUUUAACCCAUCCCUUGACCCGUUUGACUAAACCCGUCCAUUUUAUCAUUUAAUCCUAGCCGUUAAUCAUUUGGAUCAAUGGCUCACAGCCAUCCUUUCAUUUUUAAUCCUACCAAACUCUAACUCCAUCUCUCAUUUCUCUCAUGUAGCCACGUCUGAACCCUCUGCUUCUCUCAAACUCUCUCUAACACUAGAACCCUAGCCGCCCUCUAUCGCCUUCUCCGACUAAAUUCCACCGGCGUCCAUGGCUUCUCAGGCCGUGAAUGGCCUGUGCUCUCUCCCCUUCACCCCAAAUCAUGGUUGUUCAAGGUUUUUGAGGUACAACCUUAACAACGCCUGCCCAUAUCCUCCGCCGAUCUGAUUUCCUGUGGCUUCUCCGGCUCCUUUCCGACGUGUUUGAGCCUUGAAAUGUCUAGCUAUGGUCCAGACCUGUUCGAGACCAGAUCCUUUUCAAGUCUUCUCGUCUCUAGGGUUUCUAAGAAACCCUAAAAGUCGUUCGAGGUUCCUUCUUCCUUUAUUUUCUUAGAUCUGUGAUAGAUCUGUGUUACACUCGAGGUUUUAAUGCUUUUCCUUAAUCUUCUUUUUUCAAAAUUAGUCUGUUCAAUCUAGGGUUUUCAAAAACUCUUAAAAGGAUUUAUGUUUCUUAUUCUUCUUCUUUCUUCCUGUAUAUGCUUUGUUUUUGUGUGUUUUAGCUUGUGCAAAUCUUCUCUUAUGUUCUUAUGUUUUGCCAUUAUUAUGCAUGUUCUUCUACUUGUGCUCUAUUAUCCUUCUACUAGUUUUCUACAGCAUGUUUUUACACUUCUAUCCUAUGUGUUCCUCUACUAUUUUCUUUCUAAGCUUCUUGUUUGCCUAGCUGGACCUUUGUUUGAGUAAUAAACUUAUUUCGCCUACUGUUUCUUAAGUUCUAUAUCACCUCUCUUCUCUCUUGAACUUGCUUGAGUUCUGAGCUUCUCUUAAACAUGCUUUGUUUUUUUUCCUCUAUUGCUUCAAACUAGCCAUUAUAUCUAUGUUCUUUCUCAUGAGAUUCUCUGAGUCUGUUUCAAUGGCUUGCCCUCUCCAUUCUGUACCUUAUUCAAAUUUUAAACCCUAGGGAUUGGGGUUCUAGUGAGUUUUUGGUCUUUGAAGUUUGAACUAGGGUUCUACUUUGGACUAGACUAGAAUCUUUUGCUUAUGAUUGGAAACUUUCUAUGCCAGUCUUUCUCACCUUGUUUGAAACUUGUGUGCUUUAUAUGUGAAAGCUUUUUCUUUCAAAAGGAUUUUGCGAACUUGUGAUUGAUUCCGAUUUCCCUUUUCGAAGGCUCAAUUGAUUGAUACUGAUUUUCCAAAUUAAACCUUUUCCUCCCUCUUUUGUGACUAAGUUCAUUCGAGCAAGGUUUUCAAUUUACUGGUUGUUUGAUUGAUUUACUUUCCUUAUUUUUUCAAACCGCAUACCAUAGGAUUCUUGCCUUAAUUAAACUAUGUGUACUUACCCUUGCUAUGCUACUCUGAAAAAGUUUUAAUUAUUUUUUCUUUCCUUAAUUGUCUCAUGCCCAUUUGAAAUAAAAUCCCCUAACUUAAGGGAGAUCCUUAUGUGAUUGAGUGAAAAUUAUUUCUUUCCUUCUGCUUACUCGUUUUUUGCACUAUAAGAGGGUGCUACCCUUCUGUUCCUAAGGACACCAUCCACACACUACUCUUUCUACACACUUUUGCAAUAUCAACCUUUACAUACAGACACAUGUGUCUUGAAAAAUAUACUACUAUCUCUAGUACUACUCUCUCCGCUACUGCUUUCUCUACUACUGCUUUCUUCACUGAGCACCAUGCUCCUCUUCUCAUUACUAUGAAAACAUUGUUUGAGUUCCUUUGAAUUUUCAAGUGCUUGCUGAAGUUUCUGAGUUGCUCCUGCUGACUCUCUGGCUGUUUACUUGCUAAUGUUAUUCUGCUAUUCUGAAAAUUGCAUCUGGUAUGUCUUCCUAGUUAUAUACUACUCUCCUGACUAUGUGUUUAUUUCCCUUCUUCUAUUAUGCAUUCUCCAUUUAGUCUGUCAUGCUCUCUUUCAUCAUGUUCUGCACCUCCAAGUCUAUUACGCCUUCUUGCUUUCUUCAUGUUCUGUAAAUGAUUUCUUAUGCGGUACCCUUCCCUUUGACCCCCUCUUAUGUGCGCGUAAUUCUGAGUCAUGUUGGUAUUUUAUUGCCACUCAUGACUUAGAAUCAGAUUUUCUUGAACCUUAAUCAAGUCAAUUCCCCAUUCUCUUUACCCCUUAUGUGUUGAGCCUUAACUCAGGUUUAGUGGUGUCCUAAUCACCAUCCAGACCCAAGUUUGGCUUCUAAAGUCUGCUCUUUAUUUGCUUGGACAAAGCAAAGGGUCAGGGGUGUGCCAGCCCAUGACUUGGUAUGACCACCCUCUGUUAUGGCUCCCUCUCUCACUUUGCACUCAUUCCUAGUUCUAGGUUCUGCCCCUCUUUGGAAAGCCAUUCUUUGUGACCCUGGAGUUCCCUCUUAACUUGGAUACUUGAAUUCUGAUAAUUCCACACUGUACUAUUCUGCAACGACAAUUUUUAUUUAGAGUGUAAGCAUUUCCUGGGGAUUUUGAAGCUGCUUGGAACUUUGAAGCACUUUGAAUAAGAGAAGGCUUUGGAAUCUGGAAUCCGAAUUUUGUUAAACGUAUAUUAUUCGAUAUUAAGAUUGAAUUAGGCUGCUCAGAUCUAGCUGCAGCAUGUGAUGUAUUUUUAUUUACUUUCUUUCUUCUAGUUCUGUAAUAAUCUUGUUAAAAGAUCACGGGGAAGUAUUAGUAAAGGGUGUGGGAGGGGUUUACUUUAUUUUGCAAAAAGGGUAGAUACCAUGCCUAUGUGACCAAUGUUUGUUAUUCAGUCACAUAGAUAUCAUGCCUAAAGGUUCAAUGCUUUAAUCACCUAGAGAUCAUGUCUAUAGGUUUUUAACAUUUCUUAAAACAAUCAUUAGAAAUCCUACCUAUAGGACUUAAUAAUCUAACAACCAGUUGCAUAUAGGAAUCAUGUCUAUAGGAAAUGCAUAAACACUAGGCAAACUGUAGGGUAAUCAAAUACUAAUUUCUUACAAUCAAGGUAUAGAUAUCCUGCCUAUAGGGGUUAGGUCGCCUUAAUCUGUACUGAUAAUAAUUUGGAAAUUGGCUUCAGCAUUUUUCAACAAAACUCCUCCAAACCUGUUUAUUUCAACAAAAAAACUCUUACAAGUCUGCAAUGCUCUUAAAAUUUUCUAAACUUGCAUCUCCUUUUUAUGAAACGGUUUUCAAACUUCUGCCUGAAUUUUUAUUCAUCUCAUGAAGCUGUUAUUUCAAAACAGUAUUUAAUUCAUUCUUACUUUUAAAGUAUUUGCAGUCUCGAAUCUUUCUUCAUAACUCUACUAUAUUUUAUUCUGCUGAUUUCAAUGCCAUCUCUGAGCUCCUACAAUUUUCAAUCUAUUGUUUCAAACUCGUCUUCAUUAGGUUCGUUAUCAAUAACCUGUUUAAAACACCUCAAUUUCUAGCAAUUGGAUCCAGAUUGCCUAACACAAACUUUUUAUCCGACUCUAUGUGUUAAACUAGUCUGCUGCUUAAGUUUUAAAUUUAAAGACUAAAUCAGUAUAUGCAAGGCAUGCUAAAGUAGAUGCUAUGUGACUUACGGGGUUUUAUAUGAGCCUUGUGUGUUUGUUUAUUACCCAUUACUUGUUAUUUAUUUUGGUUGUCGUCAAUAGUAUUUUGACGUUUUAAACCCCAUAUAUGCCCCUACCCCUUUCCUUCUCUUUUAGGAUUAGAAGUCCUAAUACCCUGGGAUUGAUAGUUUGGGACGGGUACUAGCGUGAAAUAAUUAAACGAGGCUAAUCGCAUUUAAAUACCUUAACGGAGUAGGAAGGGUAAAAUAUGGAUAUGAUGACCGGUGCGCUAAUAUCUCAUGUGACCCCUCUUUGAGGAGUGAUUGCUGGGUAUUGCAUUGAUGUGAUCCAUAUUGUAUUUAAACCGAGAAACCCCUUUCGUUUCUUUCGUAAUGUUUUUCCUUAAGUGUUUAUAUUUCUCUGCAUUAACUCCUUUUCUAAAUAUGUCUAUUCUUCUUUUCUUUUCAAAGUUUUAAACUUAUUUGUAACUACUAUUUUCAAACCUUACUUGUUUCCUAUUAUUUAUUUUAAAGUCACAAUUAAGCAUGGCCGAGAACCACACUAGUGGAUCUUGAGGGGUGUCUAACACCUUCCCCUCGAGAUAAUCUCAAGCCCUUACCCGAACUCUGGUUUUCCUUCAAAUUCUUCUUCUCUCCUUUAAAAGUGUCAUAAUGCACUAUAAUUGUUAGGUGGAGACUCUUCAAAUUUCAUAACCCAAUUCCUCAAAAGUGAAUAAGAGUUGUUUUGUCUAUUAUAUCGUAAAUUCGAUUUUGUCUAUCUUUUUAGGAGGGAAAAAGGGGGCAUCGACACCAAUCAUUUAUUAUUGGAAACCAAAUUGUGAUAAAUGUCAAGUUAUUGGACAUAAAUGUCAGCAAGAAGAGAGAAGACAUGAGCAACAGUAUAGGGUACCACUGAAAAAAAGAAGAGUGCCAAAGAAGAUAGUACAGCAGUGGGUCACUAAAGGAAAAGACAAAGCAAAGCAACAGACAGAUGUGGAAGCUCUGCCAAAGGAAAACCAGGUCAUUCACCAUCAGGUGGUAACAAAUGUUGUCAUAGAUGCAAGGCAAAGUUUAAAGGAGGUAAAGAAUAAUAUGCAAGUGCAACAAAAAGAUAAAACACCAACUACUAUAAAUAGGAGCAAUGAUUAGGAAAGAACAAGUUUAGAGUUGAAUAAUAUCAAUUUUCCAGCACUUGGUUCAGUACCACUGAUGAAUGGGUUUCAAAUUCUGAGUAUAGAGGUUAAAGAGGCUUAUACUAAACCUUCUUAUAUAGGAGGUAAACUAAAAGGAUCACUAUGACUUGGCUUGUAUGAACAUAAGGGAUCUGAAUAAGAGGUAUAAGCAGAAGAAUGUAAAGAAAAUCCUGAAGACCAAAAAAAUAGGAAUAGAUUAUAUUGUAGAAACAAUGGUUAAGGAGAAUAAGGUUGAAAGUAUUAUUAAAAAUAUAGCUCCAAGAUGGAAUAGAUUACAUAAUUAUUCAGCUUCUAGUAAUGGUGGAAAAUGGUACUAUGGGACACUAACAAAUAUCAUGUUACUGAGCUAGUAGAAGAAACCCAAAUGAUGCAGUGUGAAGUAAGAGGGCUUGCCACACAAAUUGAAUGUAUGAUCACUACCAUGUAUGAAUUCAACACUAUAGAACAAAAAAGGGAGUUAUGGGAAGAGGUGAAAACACUAGCUCAAGGCAUUACAAAACCUUAGCUACUGAUAGGAUACUUCAAUGCAAUAAUGUGUUCAAUGGAUAGAAUUCAUGGGAAUUCAGUUCAUAAAGCUAACAUUCAAGAUUUUGUUGAUUAUAUUCAAAUAACCAAUAUGAGUGAACUAUUGUGGAGAGGAGACUACUACACAUGGACGGACAAGCAGCGAAUAGAAGAUAGAGUUUUAAGCAAAAUUGAUAUAGCUUUUGGGAACUAUGAGUGGAUGAUGAAGUGAGUAAUAUCGUAAUGAAAUAUGACCUACCAGGAAUAUUAGACCAUGCUCCAAAGUUACUAGCAAUGGGAGAUGAUCAAAUAAGCACCAAAAGUUCAUUUAGAUUUUUCAACGUAUGGACUGAACAUAUAGUUGAAGACACCCGGAACCAUAUAAAAGAACCAUGGCUCAUAAGGGGAGUAUGGAAGAAAUUGAAAGCACUCAGGCUCAGAUAAAAAUUUCUAAACAAUAGUGAAUUCAGAAAUAUAAUUCCAAAAAUAGAAGAUGCAAGGAAUGAGUUUAUGAGAAUCCAGAACCAACUGCAGCAGAAUUGUAAUGAGAUCAUGCAGGAGCAAGAAAGGAGUGCAUUACAGAAAUUAGAGAAAUGGUUAAUGGUUGAAUAAAGCAUUAUGAAGAAAAAAAGCAAGAGCUAAGUGGAUACAGGUGGGACAUGCUAACACAAAGUAUUUUUCAGUUGUAAUGAAGGAGAGGAACCACAGGAAACAUACAAGGGAACUGACAACUUUGGAAGGAAGGAAGAUAGUAAUAAGCUAGGAGAGAUUAAAGAAUAGGUCAUUAGGUUCUAUAAUAGCCUAAUGGGACAACUGCAAGAAUCCUUCCAGCAGUAAAUAGAAUGGUAAUGAAGAAGUCGCCAACACUAAGUCAAGAACAUAGGCAAGUAUUAUAUGCAGAAGUCACAAAUCUAGAAGUGCAUGGGGCUCUAGAAAGCAUAUGGGAUGACAAGGCCCGAGGAAUUUAGGGGUAUAAUCUUGUGUUUUACAAAAGAAUAUGGCACGUUGUGGGUAAAGAGGUGACUAAGGAAGUGAGGGAGUUCUAUUCAACAGGAAGAUUGUAUAGAGGUAUUAACUAUACAGCCAUUACUUUGAUCCUCAAGACUGCAAAUCCAAAAACAAUCAAAGAGUAUAGGCCUAAAGCAUGUUGUACAAUGCUUUAUAAACUAAUCUCCAUGAUAUUAGCAGCAAGACUACAAAAGGUAAUUGAUGGUAUCAUUUGUGAAGCAUGAGCUGGGUUUACUCCAAGAAGGAAAAUUGGGGACAACAUUAUAAUGGCUCAUGAAUUAAUCAUGGGCUAUACAAGGAAGAAUGUACCACAAAGAUGUAUGAUAAAAAUUGAUCUAUUAAAGACCUAUGACUUAGUUGAAUGGAGCCACUUGGAACAAAGUAUAAAUAUGCUGGGAUUUCUUGAACAAUUUAUAGCUUGGGUGAUAGAAUGUGUUAAAACUGUGAAUUAUACUAUUAUUGUGAAUAGAGAGCCAACGGAUUCCUUCAAUGUUAAAAAGGGACUCAGACAAGGAGGCCCUAUGUCUCUAUAUCUAUUUGCAAUUGCAAUGGAAUAUCUGAGUCGAAUCCUAAAACAUAUUCGGGGGAAGAAACAAUAACAUUAUCAUUCUAGAUGUGUAAAGCUAGGAAUUACUUAUCUAUAUUUUGCAGAUAAUCUAUUGAUAUUUUUCAAAGGUGUUAUUUUUUCAAUUACUAAAGUGCUUAAUAACUUCAAUCAAUUUUCCAAGGCUUUAGGUUUGCAAGCAAAUCUAAGGAAGAGCUCCAUUUAUUUUGGAGGGGUAACACAACAUGAUAAGAAAUUGAUCCUAAGGCAAUUGGAAUUUACAAAAGGAGAGCUACCAUUCAAGUAUUUGAGAGUUUCUCUAUGAACUAAAAAGCUGAAAAUAAUGUAGUUGCAUCCUCUCACUAAGAAGAUUUUGGCAAGAAUCACAUCAUGGACAACAAAAAAAAUGGUCGUAUGUAGGAAGAAGUUAACUGAUAAAUAAUGUAUUGUUUGGUAUGCAGGGCACAAUUAUUUAUUCUACCAGCAAGGGUGAUGAAGGCAGUGGAAGGUUUUUGUAGGAGCUAUAUAUGGAUAGACAACAAUGUCAUAACAAAGAGAGCAUUGAUCAAUUGGGAGAGAGUUUGCUUCCCUAAAAGUAGUGGAGGAUGGAAUUUAAUAAACUUAAGAGUUUGGAACAAAGCUGCUUUUAUAAAGCUAUACUAGAAUCUGGAAAGAAAAAGAAGACAUGAUAUGCAUAAGAUGGAUACAUGUAUAAUACACAAAAGGGCAGCAGUUACAGUGCUUAACAGUACCAAAGCAAGCAAGCUAGAUGGUGAGAAAAAUUAUUGUAACGACCCGGCCGAUAAUUUUGAGCUUUGGCACAUUGAUUGCUAAUUCUCGAGCAUUACUUGCCAUGUGUGAUGUAUUAUGACUUAUGUAAAUUGUUGGUGUUGGGUUUCAGGUUAACUAGAAUUAAUUUGGAAGAACUGUCUGAGUUGAAAGCUUUAAAUUUGAAAGGAUUGACCAAGAUUUGACUUGAUUGUAUAUGAUUACAGAUCGGAACUGUUUAUGAUUUGGUUAGCUCUGUUAGGUGAUUUGGGACUUACGAGUAUGAUCGUAAUUCAUUUUAAAGUCUGUAGAAGGUUUAGGCUUGAAUUGGCAAAAUUGAGAUUUUGGCAUUAUUUGGUUGAUAGGUGAGAUUUUGAUCCGGGGUCAGAAUGGAAUUACGAGAUUUUUUAUAGCUUUGUUAUAUCAUUUGGGAUGCGUGUGUAAAAUUUCAGGUCAUUCGAAUGUGGUUUUGUUGGGUUUUUGAUCGAAAGCAUAUUUCAGAUGUUUUUGAGAAACUUAGGCUUGAAUUCGAUGAUUUUUGGGUAAUUUGAUGUUGUUUUAGGUGUUUUAAUGAUUGGGGAAAAUUUGAAUAAGGUUUUAGGAAGUGUUGUUGCUUUUGGUUGAGGUCUCGGGGCCUCGCGUGAGUUUCGGGUAGUCAUUUGGACCAUUUUUGGAGUUUGAAAGUUGCGGAAACAGCAAGUUUAGUGUUGCAGAGAAUUAUCUCUUCGCGUUCGUGUGAGGAGCCUCGUGUUCACGUGGAAGGAAUAGAGGACGGCCAAAAUUUAGAUUUUGUGUUAUCAUGAUAGGCUUCAGUUUUGUAGAAGGUUGGGAAGCUAUGCGUCGCGCUCGCGAGAAGGCACUCGCGAUUGCAUAGAGGAAGUGAGUCAGAUGGGGUCGAGGGUAAUUUGUGCAUCGCACGCGCAUAUGGUUGUUCUUGUUCGCAUAAGGUUAUUUCAUAUGGUCAUCGCGUUCACAUGGUGUUGGUCGUGUUUGCGUAGUGUAUUUUGGAGGUCUUGAAUAUUACUCUUCGCGAUCGCGAGGCUUGUGUCGCGAUCGCGAUGAAGGAACGGGCAGAGCUGGGAAGAAUGUUUUAGACAAGCUGACUCCAACGCCUAUAGUAAUAGUCAUACUAAAGCUAAAGAGAUCCCAAUAGUCAAUCCGCUACGCCCCAAUGUUGUCAACGAACAAUCACCUUGCCUUACUAAUAUAUUAAUUUUUUCGCAUUGUCUUCCUCCAACAGGAAGGAGAGCAGCUGAUUCUAGGGAUGCCCAUUUGUCCACAUCAAAAGGAAAGGAAUCAGUCCGGCAGCAAGAGAGGAAUUCCUCUAAGCCGUAUCAUCAAUGUUAAUAGCAUUUAUCGAUGCUUCUCCACACUGUCCUGGUCUCACGAUGUGGAUUCGAACCACUGCUUCUCCUUAUUGUCGUGAGUGGGUCUGUCGUCCUCCUCAUUAUAGUCCUCCUAGAAUCCAGAGCAUUUCGUCGAAAUACAUCCUGUCUUUUCACCUUAGUAGUCCUAUGCAUAGUCAGUACUAUAGCCCCAAUCAUGGCUACUAAUAAAAUAAGACUAGAAACCAAAAACCAGACGAAAUAGUAGGUAUAAAGUAAAUUGCCCAAUGUUUCCAAAUUAGUCCAACUUCGUACCUUUCCGGCA
rnacentral:lncRNA from 1 species